rnacentral:rRNA from 1 species
GGUUGCGAUCAUACCAACACUAAUGCACCGGAUCCCAUCAGAACUCCGCAGUUAAGUGUGCUUGGGCGAGAGUAGUACUAGGAUGGGUGACCCCCUGGGAAGUCCUCGUGUUGCAACCC